rnacentral:rRNA from 12 species
GGAGUGGAGAAAGGUUCCAUGUGGACAGCAAUUGGACAUGAACUAGUUGAUCCUAAGAGAAAAAG